rnacentral:rRNA from 1 species
GACGAACCGUCCAAACGUUAUUCGGAAUCACUGGGCUUACAGAGUUCGUAGGCGGUCUGGAAAGUUGGGUGUGAAAUCCCUCGGCUCAACCGAGGAACUGCGCUUGAAACUACCAGACUCGAGGGAGAUAGAGGAAAGCGGAACUGAUGGUGGAGCGGUGAAAUGCGUUGAUAUCAUCAGGAACACCGGUGGCGAAGGCGGGUUGCUGGGCCGACACUGACGCUGAUGCGCGAAAGCCAGGGGAGCGAACGGG